AAGUCGUAACAAGGUUUCCGUAGGUGAACCUGCGGAAGGAUCAUUAUUGAAAUAAAUCUGAUGGGUUGUUGCUGGUUCUCUAGGGAGCAUGUGCACGCUUGUCAUCUUUAUAUCUCCACCUGUGCACCUUUUGUAGAUCUGAAUAGCUUUCUGAAUGCCUAGCAUUUGGGUUUGAAGAUUGACUUUGUUGUCUUUCUUUACAUUUUCAGGUCUAUGUUUCUUCAUAUACCCCAAUGUAUGUUAUAGAGUGUAAUAAACGGGCCUUUGUGCCUAUAAACUUAUACAACUUUCAGCAACGGAUCUCUUGGUUCUC
rnacentral:misc_RNA from 1 species